rnacentral:rRNA from 1 species
CAGUCGCCGCGGGAAUACGAAGGGGGCUAGCGUUGUUCGGAAUUACUGGGCGUAAAGCGCACGUAGGCGGACAUUUAAGUCAGGGGUGAAAUCCCGGGGCUCAACCCCGGAACUGCCUUUGAUACUGGGUGUCUAGAGUAUGGAAGAGGUGAGUGGAAUUCCGAGUGUAGAGGUGAAAUUCGUAGAUAUUCGGAGGAACACCAGUGGCGAAGGCGGCUCACUGGUCCAUUACUGACGCUGAGGUGCGAAAGCGUGGGGAGCAAACAGGAUUAGAUACCCCGUAGUCCCUGUCUCUUAUACA